AUUGAACGCUGGCGGCAGGCCUAACACAUGCAAGUCGAGCGGAGCGGCGGACGGGUGAGUAAUGCCUAGGAAUCUGCCCGGUAGCGGGGGAUAACGUCCCGAAACGGGCGCUAAUACCGCAUACUAUCAGAUGAGCCUCUGUCGGAUUAGCUAGUUGGUGGGGUAAAGGCUUACCAAGGCGACGAUCCGUAACUGGUCUGAGAGGAUGAACAGUCACACUGGGACGGAGAAACGGUCCAGACUCCGACGGGAGGCAGAAGUGGGGAAUAUUGGACAAUGGGCGGAAGCCUGAUCCAGCCAUGCCGCGUGUGUGAAGAAGGUCUUCGGGUUGUAAAACGCUUUAAGUUGGGAGGCGUUACCAGCAGAAGAAGCACCGGCUAACUUCGUGCCAGCAGCCGCGGUAAUUC
rnacentral:rRNA from 1 species